GAUGAACGCUGGCGGCGUGCCUAAUACAUGCAAGUCGAGCGAACAGAUAAGGAGCUUGCUCCUUUGAUGUUAGCGGCGGACGGGUGAGUAACACGUGGGUAACCUACCUAUAAGACUGGGAUAACUUCGGGAAACCGGAGCUAAUACCGGAUAACAUUUGGAACCGCAUGGUUCUAAAGUGAAAGAUGGUUUUGCUAUCACUUAUAGAUGGACCCGCGCCGUAUUAGCUAGUUGGUAAGGUAACGGCUUACCAAGGCGACGAUACGUAGCCGACCUGAGAGGGUGAUCGGCCACACUGGAACUGAGACACGGUCCAGACUCCUACGGGAGGCAGCAGUAGGGAAUCUUCCGCAAAGGGCGAAAGCCUGACGGAGCAACGCCGCGUGAGUGAUGAAGGGUUUCGGCUCGUAAAACUCUGUUAUUAGGGAAGAACAAAUGUGUAAGUAACUGUGCACGUCUUGACGGUACCUAAUCAGAAAGCCACGGCUAACUACGUG
rnacentral:rRNA from 1 species